AUUGAACGCUGGCGGCAUGCUUUACACAUGCAAGUCGAACGGCAGCGCGGGCUUCGGCCUGGCGGCGAGUGGCGAACGGGUGAGUAAUACAUCGGCACGUGCCCAGUAGUGGGGGAUCGCUCGGCGAAAGCCGGAUUAAUACCGCAUACGACCUGAGGGUGAAAGCGGGGGAUCUUCGGACCUCGCGCUAUUGGCGCGGCCGAUGGCAGAUUAGCUAGUUGGUGGGGUAAAGGCUUACCAAGGCGACGAUCUGUAGCUGGUCUGAGAGGACGACCAGCCACACUGGGACUGAGACACGGCCCAGACUCCUACGGGAGGCAGCAGUGGGGAAUUUUGGACAAUGGGCGAAAGCCUGAUCCAGCAAUGCCGCGUGUGGGAUGAAGGCCUUCGGGUUGUAAAGUACUUUUGUAGGGAACGAAAAGGAUCGUGCUAAUACCACGGUUCGAUGACGGUACCCGAAGAAUAAGCACCGGCUAACUACGUG
rnacentral:rRNA from 1 species